UCCCUCCUUGAUCACUUAAAAACUUUAUUAAAAGAAACAAAACUCACCAGAGUUCCAGAGCUGAACUUAAUUUUAAAAAUCCAGCUACUCAGAAUCUCCUCAGAUUCAAAGUUCUCCGGAAGUUCCCUCCUACACCGCGCCCAGAAGUAGGGGGCGGUGUGGUCCCUCCCUAGCACCGGAUUGGUUCAAUUCAAGACCAAUCCCACACCAGAAAGUAGGCAUGGUACCUCCCCCAUCAUGGGAUUGAUCCAUUCAAGAUGAAUUCCAUGCUAUGACAUAAGUAGGAUACAGUUCCCCUGGCCACAACUUUUUAAAAUCCACAAUAUCUACCAAACUUAUAAAAUGUUACCUGAUACAACUAUAUUGUUAACCCUUGAAUUUAGUUGAGAAAUAUCAACUUCAUCUUGUGUGAAUUAGGGACAGAGCCUGAGAUGUGAGUGUAGACACUUUCCAGGACUGGUUGUGCAUCCAAAAGUAAGUUCGUCAUUCAAAAAAGAUCCUCAUUCCUUAUCUACUUCUUAUGACACAUCCAAGACUUUGGGUGGCAAGCUGUCUAUGUGUCAAAUUCUCCUUCAGAUGACUGUAUCUCACAUCUGAUGUUGACCAGGAGUUGCAGACUUGGAGCAAGGGCAUCUUGUGACAUUUCAGAAUCUGACAAUGACGAGCACAUUUCCUGAGGUCUGAACUUCCCAGGCUAGAGUCAGUGGCUAUCCUGAACAAGAGCUGGACAGUUUCAUACUACACACUAUGACUUUUCCAAAGGGAGCAUUUUGCUAAAACUAUGAGAUGGAAAGCCUGGGACAAAUACUAGACACAUGCCAGGGCUCCCUAGUAGUCUGGGUUCAAUAUGAUGAACUACCAAAGCACAUAUUCUCUCUAGGUGAAUAAAUAAAUGAGUGAAUUAAUGAACAAAAGAAUAAAUGAAAAGUAUUAAUCA
rnacentral:lncRNA from 1 species